rnacentral:rRNA from 1 species
UACAGAGGGUGCAAGCGUUGUUCGGAAUUAUUGGGCGUAAAGCGCGUGUAGGCGGCUUUGCAAGUCGGGUGUGAAAGCCCCCGGCUCAACUGGGGAGGGUCACUCGAUACUGAUCGACUUGAAGGCAGGAGAGGGAAGCGGAAUUCCCGGUGUAGUGGUGAAAUGCGUAGAUAUCGGGAGGAACACCAGUGGCGAAGGCGGCAUCCUGGACCGACAUUGACGCUGAGGAGCGAAAGCUAGGGGAGCAAACGGGG